rfam:Oceanobacillus picturae, S1, WGS project CCAX01000000 data, contig: 000002
UACUGAUGACCUUCGACUAAAUUCCGACACGUCCUGUGUCGAACGUCGAAGUCACCACAUCCUGUGGA